GAGGUGCUUUUUGACAAGGGCUGAACGAUUAAUCGCAUUUACGAUAAUAUCGCGAUAUCAUAGAACGAGAUUUCCUAAUCACAAAGGAUGCGAU